AGAGUUUGAUCAUGGCUCAGGAUGAACGCUAGCUACAGGCUUAACACAUGCAAGUCGAGGGGCAGCAUGUUGGUUGCUUGCAACCAAUGAUGGCGACCGGCGCACGGGUGAGUAACGCGUAUCCAACCUACCCUUGUCCAUCGGAUAACCCGUCGAAAGGCGGCCUAACACGAUAUGCGGUUCACAGCAGGCAUCUAAGGUGAACGAAAUGUGAAGGAGAAGGAUGGGGAUGCGUCUGAUUAGCUUGGUUGGCGGGGUAACGGCCACCAAGGCGACGAUCAGGUAGGGGUUCUGAGAGGAAGGUCCCCCANAUUGGAACUGAGACACGGUCCAAACUCCGUACGGGAGCA
rnacentral:rRNA from 1 species